rnacentral:rRNA from 2 species
AGCGUUGUCCGGNUUAUUGGGCGUAAAGCGAGCGCAGGCGGUUUUUUAAGUCUGAUGUGAAAGCCUUCGGCUUAACCGGCAGAAGUGCAUCGGAAACUGGGAGACUUGAGUGCAGAAGAGGACAGUGGAACUCCAUGUGUAGCGGUGGAAUGCGUAGAUAUAUGGAAGAACACCAGUGGCGAAGGCGGCUGUCUAGUCUGUAACUGACGCUGAGGCUCGAAAGCAUGGGUAGCGAACAGGAUUAGAUACCCUGGUAGUCCAUGCCGUAAACGAUGAGUGCUAAGUGUUGGAGGGUUUCCGCCCUUCANUGCUGCAGCUAACGCAUUAAGCACUCCGCCUGGGGAGUACGACCGCAAGGUUGAAACUCAAAGGAAUUGACGGGGGCCCGCACAAGCGGUGGAGCAUGUGGUUUAAUUCNAANCUACNCNAAAACCUUACCAGGUCUUGACAUCUUCUGCCAAUCUUA